UGGAACUGAAGCCUGUCUGGAGUUUAGUUGUCAUGGUGAUGUCCAUACACAGUGUUUGUUGUGAUAUCAGACUGGAUCAGACACCUUCGCAGGUGAAAAUACCUGGACACUCUGUUAAAGUGUCCUGUACAAUCUCUGGUUAUUCAAUGACUAGCUGGAACAUUCACUGGAUAAGGCAGAAACCAGGGAACGGACUUGAGUGGAUUGGGAGAAUGAACACUGGUUCAGGCACAGAUGUUAUCUAUGCGGACUCCCUGAAAGGCCAGUUCACCCUGACUGAGGACGUGUCUACAAGCACACAGUUCUUAGAGGUCAAGAGUCUGAGAUCAGAGGACUCAGCUGUUUAUUAUUGUGCUCGAGAGACACAGCGACUGAAGCUGGUGAAGCAGCUGCACAAAAAACCCCUAACAACAUGGAUAGGUGGUGUACUACUUCCUCUCUUUGUGUCACACUAGAAUAAUACUGAGUAUCAUUACUGUAAAGAAUACAGCAACAAUAUCACAAAGCACUAUGCUAUAAAAGA